rnacentral:rRNA from 1 species
UACGGAGGGUGCAAGCGUUAUCCGGAUUCACUGGGUUAAAGGGUGCGUAGGUGGGCAGGUAAGUCAGUGGUGAAAUCUCCGGGCUUAACUCGGAAACUGCCAUUGAUACUAUCUUUCUUGAAUACCGUGGAGGUCAGCGGAAUAUGUCAUGUAGCGGUGAAAUGCUUAGAUAUGACAUAGAACACCAAUUGCGAAGGCAGCUGGCUACACGAAUAUUGACACUGAUGCACGAAAGCGUGGGGAUCAAACAGG